AGUGAACGCUGGCGGUAGGCCUAACACAUGCAAGUCGAACGGCAGCACAGAGGAGCUUGCUCCUUGGGUGGCGAGUGGCGGACGGGUGAGGAAUACAUCGGAAUCUACUCUGUCGUGGGGGAUAACGUAGGGAAACUUACGCUAAUACCGCAUACGACCUACGGGUGAAAGCAGGGGAUCUUCGGACCUUGCGCGAUUGAAUGAGCCGAUGUCGGAUUAGCUAGUUGGCGGGGUAAAGGCCCACCAAGGCGACGAUCCGUAGCUGGUCUGAGGGGACGAUCAUCCACACUGGAACUGAGACACGGUCCAGACUCCUACGGGAGGCAGCAGUGGGGAAUAUUGGACCAUGGGCGCAAGCCUGAUCCAGCCAUACCGCGUGGGUGAAGAAGGCCUUCGGGUUGUAAAGCCCUUUUGUUGGGAAAGAAAUCCAUCUGGUUAAUACCCGGGUGGGAUGACGGUACCCAAAGAAUAAGCACCGGCUAACUUCGUGCCAGCCGCCGCCGUAA
rnacentral:rRNA from 1 species